rnacentral:lncRNA from 1 species
UGCUUUUAAUAUGAUAGAGAGAUGAAAGACAUAGAAAGAGAACAACUUAAAUCAAUAAUCAAAAUAAACAAUUGCAUUAAUUCACUUAACCUCAGAAUCCAUAGUGAAAUUACAGCAGAAUAGCCCUAGGAGCUUAGAAACACAUGAUGAAAGUAAAAGCAGUGGUGGAUGAAUGGAUGAAUGAAUGGUUCUCCCUUCUGCCUCCCUGGGUCUCUUUAUAUAGGUUUGAUUGGGCUUGGACUUUGAAUAUUCAGUUGAUAGAAUCUUUUAUCUUAUAUCUUCCAAAUAACUAAAAGAUUUAGAUAAUUAUAAUAUCAUUUGGAAGAUAUUUUCUGUUAUUAUUCCCAAAUUAAAUUAGUUCAACAACUGAUUUCAUCUUUUAGCUUUUCUGACUUUCCAUAAUUGCACAAAUACCCUGAUAGUCCCUCUAUCUGCACUUUAACCCUUUAGAAUUCUCCUAAAUUGCAGGAAAACCCCUCCGUUGACCAACCUUGACCAGAUAAGGCCUGUUUGACCAGCUUUGACUCCUAUAGACGUGGCCAAUGAAAGGCAUCCACGUGUCUGCCCCUUCCUUACCCAAAAUUAGGGUUUGCUAGAUUAGAGGAAAAGGGAAAAGUUUAUCCCUACUUGAUCCUGACCGCUGCCGAGAUGAAGAAAUCUGGUUGUGCAACCCUCGACCAUGGAAAGAUCUGGAGAUUGCGAGGCAAAGACGAAUCUGGAUUUUCUGGUUUCUUGUUGUUUGUUUGAUUCGCAGGUUUUGUGAAGGAAAAAUAAAUGGGUUCGAAUGGAGGUUGGUUGGCUACGGUGGCUGUGGGUUUGCUCGUGGUGGCUGGUUGAGACGCUUGUGAUGGCCGGUUUUGGGGUUCUUGUUGUUUUUCUGAUUACAGGUCCGGUGAUGGUGGCUUUCCAUGGGUGGCAGUGUCUUCACGGUGGCUUGCUCGCGAGGAAGAAGAUGGUGGAUCGUAGAGGUCUUGCGACUUUGGUGUUCGUGAUCUGCACUGGUCACGGUUGUGCCAACCGGAAAGGACGCUGCUGGCUGCUUGUGGUUGGUUGCGGAAGAAGGUGGCGGCCAUGGAGGAUGGUUACUGGUGGUGGCGCGAUGCAGUGAAGAUGCGAGAACGAUGGAGGUGCAUGUUUGAGGCGAUUUCUGGAUCUGGGUUUCUGCGUGUGUGCACGAGGAGGACGAAGGUGGCUGCCGGCGAUAAGGUGGGUGGUGGCGGCUAGGGUUUACCAGAUUAGGGUUUCUGGAGAAAGGUUGAAAAUGGUGAUGACGUGGCAAGAGGGGCUAGGUGGCAUGUUCUGAUUGGUUUAUUUGGUGAGUGCAGGGAUUAAUGAUGUGGCAUCAUCUGGAUGGUUGGAUCUAUUAUUUGUGGACUGCCAUGUGGCACCAUCUUAGGCAAUCUGACUUAGUUAGUGAUAGGAGGGGUAUGGGUAGGAAAAUUAGGGGGUGUGGGNGAAAAGGUUUAGUGUUUGGGCUUGGUUGUUGGCCUGGUUUAAAACUGGGGGUGCAUGUAGGGAAAUCUGGGGUGCAAGUGUAAAAACUGACUGUUUGGCCCAUCUGUACAUUAUUUAUCAAAUAAAAUCUGAUUUUGGGCUUCAAAUUACAAUUUGGACCAAUAAAACUCCAACUUCAGCUGCACAAAUAAAUAUUAGAACAUCCAAGAAUAAUUUAUGCAAUUAAAAUCAUUUUUUAAGCCCUUUUCAUUUCCAAAUACACUAAAUCCAAUAAUUACAAAUCCUCAACAAAUCAAUCAUUUAAGCACAAAUAUUCUAUCAAAAAUUUUAAUUUUAAAGCAUAAAUGUAGACAUAAAUAUGCACUCAUCA